UAGGAAUCAAAUAAUAGGAGGCCUCGACUGUUUACUAAAAACACAAGAAUGUGCGAUGAUAAAAAAUCAUAGUAUACGUUCUGAGAUUUGCUCGAUGCCAUUAAUAUAAAAUAUUGAUCAUGGGUAACUGUGAUUGAAUUGAAAAUCUGGUUAAUAGCGGUCUUAACUAUGAGGAUCCUAAGGUAGCAUAAUAAAUUGUCCAUUAAAUGUGGUCCGGUAUCAAUAAUAUAACGAAGGCCUCACUGUCUCUACAACUUGCUCAGUGAAAUUGAAUUAUCCGUGCAGAUGCGGAUUACCUCCA
rnacentral:rRNA from 1 species